UUUAUAAUUGCAUUAUGUUGGUGACAUUGUUAAGAUGUCUGACGGUCGUGGUUUACUUUUCUUUUGACAAAAUUUAGAAAGAUCGGAACUUAACUGGAGUUUCGUGGCAUUAAGUCUAAUAACCUUUCUUCACAUGUAACUGCAGUCUUCUGACCUAGUUAUGGGAAAAACGAUUAAGUGGAAAAAGAGACAAGGCGACCCAGGGGAGAACGGGGACGAAUCGACGGAGUCGUGUGACGAAAAUGUCAAGUCCGCAUGUCCUCACGUCGCGAAAGCCGUCGACCUGACUCGGCUGAAGAAGGCACUGAAGAUCGGAGGCUUCGAGAAGGAGUGCGCGGAGUGUUUGAAGAGUACGAAAACGGAGGUGUCUGACCCAGAUUUUGUGGAGGAUCUUUCCUUGUGGAUGUGUUUAAGAUGUGGCUCGCAGCUCUGCGGUCGCGCUCGUAACCAGCACGCUUUGAACCACUUCAACCGCCCGCACUCGGACUCGCACGCGCUAACCGCCAACACCACGACUUGGGCAAUCUACUGUUACAACUGCAAUGAUGAGGUCACAGCCACAAGCUCUAAAAAGCUACAUGAAUGUAUCGAGUACCUUAAAAAGCAGGCUCUAUCUGGUGGCAGUACGAAAUCCUUGCCGCCAAUAGAACUGCCGCCGCCAGAGACAAUAAUAAAAACUGAUUAUACUUUCAAAGGCAAAGACAAAGCCAUGGGAUUUACCUCGCAGCGAGUGAGAGGUCUCUCUAACUUAGGAAAUACCUGUUUCUUCAACUCGGUCAUGCAGUGUUUAGUCCAAACGCCGUACCUGCUGCCAGUCUUACAAGAGAUGUCGGCGACCGGGGAACAGUUCACGUUGCCCGGGGGCAAGUUGAGCAUGAAGCUGGAUGGAGAGGAGAAGGAGGUUGAGCUGCCCCCUAUCACAGGACAGUUGUCCGAGUGGGGACCGUUGACUAGGACAUUGGCGGAGACUUUGUCAGAUUUGCAAUCAGGAGAAGGUGGCGUGUACACUCCUCGCAAACUGCUCUCGGCGCUGGUGAACAAACUGCCUCAGUUCGGAGGCGGCGACCAGCACGACGCCCAUGAGCUGCUGAGGCAUCUUCUAGAGGCCGUCAGAUCGGAGGACCUAAGACGCUACCAGUCCGUGAUUCUCAACAGCCUGGGCAUGAACUCCAAGGUUGACCCGUCCAAGGUGGACGGCGAGGUGAAGCAGAAGGUCAAGUUCUACGGCCAGCAGGCUUCCGACACCAUGCUGAGGCCGGAACAGGUGUUCCGCGGCUUCCUCGUGUCCACGCUGGAGUGUCAGGAGUGCUUCAACCACUCAGACCGCACGGAGUACUUCCUGGACCUGUCGCUGCCCGUCGCCGCCUCCCGUCCGCAGCCGCCAGCGGUUGUUCGCAGGAAAACCCCCAACGAGGAGAUGUACAAUCAGUACAACACUCAGGAAGAGAAUAAGCCCUCGAAGCACCAGCUCAAGAAGGAGCGUAUCGCGGCGAGGAAAGCGGCGCGCAAGAACAAAGGUAAUUCCACGUCAAAGGAAGAAACCACUACCGACGCGAACUCUAAAAAAGAAGAUGGCAAGUCUUCAUCCGAACAAUCCGACGCCGACGUAGAAGAUAACCUAGAAGAUGCUCCGAGGCGAGCAGACACCCACAGUACCUCCGUCGGAACCCAGGCCAUCGCCCACACUGCUGCCAAUUUUGCUCAUUACCUCAAUAUGGAAUCCGGGUAUAAUUCAGAAAAAGUCAUAAGCUCAGACUCCAUCCGGACCAGCCCGGUGCAUUUAGCCGAAAAGGAAACUCCAGAAGAGAAUGGGAAAGAGUAUGUUGACUCAUCCACGUCGACUAUGGCUGUCCCACUGGAAUACAAGCCUCUCGCACCAUUUGAGAACCUGUCCAAUCCGGACUCUGGAGUAGCAAGCCCUGAAGCCACUAAGCAUAACUCCACAGAGACAGUUGACCAUGUAGACUCUCCAACUGAUAAUAAGGAGCUUGGUAGUCCCAGUUCGCUUUCAAGCGAGAUAAAUUUGGAGCUAACAGAACCAAGUCCGGGAACGGAACCGGAGAGACCUGUAUCCAGGAUUGCUUUCGCUCCAGAGUAUACGAAUAAAGUUGUAUCUAGGGGGAUCAGUGUAGCUGGCUCAAGGCAGUUGCUAGAACAGAGCGGAGACAGCAGUUAUGAGUCCCCACCUGAUGCGAAACCAGCAGAUACAGAACUGACUAAUCAUGUCGAAGUCACGAAUAAACUUGAUAAGCUCAAACUAGAUAUGGAAGAGAAGAGUCUAAUUGUCCCUCCGGCCCCAGCUUUGCCCGCCCCGUUACCGCGGCCGACGCUCGGGGGCGCUGACGACAAAGGCCUCAUGGAUUUCCUGUCCUACUCCCGCAAUUCGACCCGCCAUGUGUGCGACGAGGACGAAUGCAGCGUCGCCUCCUGCCUUAGCCAGUUCACAGCUUUGGAACUGCUUACUGGGAACAACAAAGUUGGAUGUGACACUUGUACUAAGCGGGAAGGCCAGGAAGGAGGAAAAACAGUCUACACAAAUGCUACUAAACGCUUCUUAGUGGCCAGUGCUCCGGCUAUCCUCAUUCUACAUUUGAAGCGUUUCCAGCUCGGACCUCGCUGUAUGUUCAGGAAAAUGUCCAAGCAUGUGGACUUCCCGGCCAUCUUGGACUUGGCACCGUUCUGCGCCAUGGACAAGCUUCGCAAGCAGCCCGGCAUCAACCGGACACAGGAACAAGUACUGUACUCUCUAUAUGGAGUCGUUGAGCACUCCGGAGGCAUGCACGGUGGGCAUUACGUUGCAUACGUGAAGGUUCGGGCGCCAUUGCGACGCGAUCAUCCUCGUUGGGGCUUCCUACCUAAAAGCGCUAAUGUGCCUGCCGCUGAAGCCCAAGAAGCACCAGAGCCUGAUUCAGAGUCCGAACUCUCCGGAUACGAGUCCGGUGAAGGAGCACCUAUGCCCGACUCCCCGCCUGGCAAGUGGUACUACGUCUCUGAUAGCAUGGUAUCGGAAGUGAGCGAGGAUAAAGUAUUAAGAGCGCAGGCCUACCUACUCUUCUACGAGAGGAUCCUAUAAGCCUAAUUUAACCAGCGUGCUGUAUAUAGCUUGUUAGCUUUUCCUUUUCCUAGUUGGUUGCCACGGUGAUCCGUGUUACUCUGUUUUGUUUAUUGUAUCCUUAGGACAGGUACCUUUUGCCGUGGAACGUCACAUAUUGUAUUUUUUACGGCUCUACGCCUCAAUUAUGUACACAUUUAUUCUCGUAUUAAUAGAAUAGACAGUUAACUGAUAUCAUACUCUAGUUUUAAAGAGGAAAAGUAAGCUGCGUUCUUCGUUUAAUUUUGAGGUCCAGUUUCGACCGCUUUAGUUUGAACCUAUGUAUAUAAUUUUUUCAUACACACAUGAUUUAAUUAUGUCACUAAUUCAACGGUUAACCCGUGGAGCGCCCUAUAGUCUGUAUCUUUAGGUGUUUAAAUAAAAGUAAACAAACAAUUUGUAAAGUUUCGGGUAGUUAUAACAUUUAUUGGUUAACCGAUCAAUUAAAAAACCGCCUGGAUCAGUCACUGAACGGCCUGAAUUUAACCUACAUUAUUUGAUCGUGUAAUGUUUUCAUCUACCCUCAACUGGCUUAACGGGUCAUUUGAGGGUAGAUUUUGUUUCCUUUUAUUUAAAUACCUAAAGAUACAGAGUAUAGUAUCACACGUGUGAUACUAACACAAUUUGGAUCGUAGCUACUCAGUAUCAGACGUGUUACUAGAGAUCAAUAUGGGUUUUAGGUUUAGGACUUCAGCUCACUCCUCUUAACACAUUCACUGCUAAAAUGGUCAUAGCCUAUAACAUGAAUGUCCCGGUGUGUAGAGAAAAUUCAUCGUAGAGGCAAAAUGACAGUCAUAACGCUGAAUGGGUUGAAACUUGUAUGGUAUCUGAUUGCAUUUUAUUAAUACGACUCUUAACAGAUGUGCUUGCGGAAAGUUUCAAAAAUUCCCGGAAAUUUCAGGAAACUUUCAUUUAGGAAACGGAUAAUUUCAAUCCCCAUACAAACUCAUAAGUUUCCGAAAUAUUUCAAUGUGGAAAUUUCUCUGAAACUUUCCGACGUCACUUCAGUUCGGAACUUAGUCAUUGCAGAUGAAAACGUACGUCGUAUAAACUAAGGAAUUGAUAACAAUGAAUUAUGGUACUGAUUGGUGCAUUGAUGUACUGCGAUAUAUAUAGUUACUCGCAUAAGAGUCAUACGGACCUAGGCGCCGCCAUACAAUCGGAGUUACACUCAUUUUAAAAUGACAUUCAAAAGUAACAUAGGGUAAUUCGCCAGUAACUGGCCACCCUAAACUAAAAAUGAUUUCUAUUCACCUAUAAAUAGAAUUCAUUUUGGUGGCCAGUUAUUGGAACCUUAUACUAAAAUGAAUUCUGUUUAUAGGUAAAUAGAAUUCAUUUUUAGUUUAGGGCGGCCAGUUACUAAAAGUGGCCACAUACUGGCGAAUUACCCUAUCUAUGUCUGGUUUCGUUGCUAGAAUUGUAAUAUUAAGCAAUUAGAGCAGUUUUACAUACAAAAACUAGUACAGUCGCCAUCAGAUAUAUUGAAGCGGCCAAGGUGCUCACAAACAUCUAAACACGCCUCUGUCAAGGCGUUACAGUGUCACAUAUAUUUGAGCACCUUAGCCGCUCCGAUAUAUACUGAUGGCGACUUAUCAGACAAAGAUGUAUGUUACAUAAAAUGUUCAUGCCAAGUUUCAUGUAAUUUAAGCAUGCCAUUUUAAAAUGAGAGCGUAGCUUCAAUUGUAUGGGUGCGUCUUUUUGUCGGGUCCGCGUGUCGCAUAAGACGUAAUAUUAAGUCGUCUUUCAUUUUACAAGUUAUUUUACUCUUGAACGUUACAUAGCGGUUCUCACUAAGUUUUAAAUGUUACGAGACGUUCGUUUUUUUAACGUAUUUAUUCUUUUCUGUAUUUAUGUUUGUCAUUUUUGUUGUUUUGUGGCCCUGUUAACUCGGGAGCGAAGGACUACAGGGUGGUUCGGCAGACGUGAACAGAAUAACAAGUCAUAAGGGUAACUUAGACAGGUUGAUAUAAAGUUUCUAGCUUGGUAAUAAGAUAUAGGGUUACUUUUUCUUGCUACUCGUUGCCAUGGUUACGUUUUCUUGGGUCACUUUUGAAACUCUGUUGUUAUGGCAUUUCAAUAAUAUUUCGUGGUUAUCAUAUGCCCUUUACUUUAGGUCAUCUACCAAGCAUGUUAAUAGAACGCGUUACAGGCAGUUUUCUAACAAACUUUGCUAAUAUGGUCUCCUAGCUGACGGGAUCAAAUAAAACAACCGUAAUAUAGUUAGGUAACCCUUAUAAAAUUUGGUCACAAUAUUUAUCACUACGAUUUUGUUUGUUUCAAAGGUGAUAUCGCUGACCCAAUAUUACAGGGUUCUGUGUUACAUUUUCAAGAUACUUGAAAUUUGACUUAAUGUCAAACAUCAAUAUUUUAUUCAGCAAACUGUCAUACAAACCGUCACUAUGACAAUGUUCAAAUGUCAGUUGGAUAAAAAUGAAACAUAGAACCCUGUAAUAUUGGGCCAGCGAUAUGAUGACCAUGAUUUUUCAAGUUAACAAUUUUGUUCCUGUUCACGUCUCUUAAAUCACCCUGUAUAGGUAUAUAGGGUGCGUCCUAUAUUCUCCAUAGUCUUCCACUGCAGUGUCAAGCCUGUAUACAUCUGGUACAAUAUCGGUAACGCCAUUCGUAGUAAUGAAAGUAGCAUAGUUAUUUAUUGUAAUGUGAUGUCGAAUAACAUUUUACUGCUAAGUCGUUCUCAAAUUUAAUAUAUUUAAUCGGGUCACUCACGUUUUAAGUCGAAAAUUGCUCGACAUGUUUCGCUACAUAACGAGGACUUCAAUGGGCGCACGCCUUGGCAGACUUAACCGAUUCGUUGCUGAUGACCCGCCUGCCGCGUCAUCAAUGUUUUCGUGUGGCGCAUGACACGGCAGGCGUGUCAUCAUAUUCUAUGGCGCAUGGCACGGGUGCCGUGUCAUGAAAUGAUUGUUCCGCGCCACAGCCAAGUUUUCGAAAAUGGAACACGCAACGAAUCGGUGAAGCAUAUUUCGACUCGACUCGAGAAUUAAAAUACGUGAGUGACCCGAUUUAAUAUGUUUGAUAAGUCCUCAUUAAAAGCUGACAAAACAUCGGUAUCGUUUAAUAAAGCUUUGGUUUCCUAGGAGAGCGGUGUUGACGUUGGUGGCUGACGGUGUGCUAUGACGCCGUGGAACUUUCCACAUGUCCUCACCUUAAAGACGGCCGUCUUUUUGCGUCCGCUACAUGACGGCACCGCUUUCCGAGGAAACCAAAGCUUAAGAGUUAUCAAUAGUAGAAAAGUAUAGCCUAAGAAAAUAAUAUGCCUCGAAAUACACCGUGUUUUUUUUUUAUUUCCGUUAAUUUCAGGGGUGCAUUCCUGAGCUUAAAUCAAGUAACUUUCUCAAAGACACCGAUAUUCUAAUUAACUCCAUUUCGGAGAUAAUCGAUAAUUUAUUUUUUUCCUAUAAGGCCUCUACAAGCGUGUACACUUGCCUUAGGGCCGGUUUACAUAUUAUUAGUGUUUAGAAUGAGUUCAUGCAUUUGCUACUAGACUUAAGUACAAUCUCGGUCGAUCGAUGUUCGAAAUGACAUUGAUAUGUCACAGAUUUCAAUCGUUUGGUUGAGUUAAAUGUAAUGCCCGUGUUACAACAACGCUAUAUGCUAUAAUUACUUUAUAAACUCUUUUUUUCUUCAAAAAACAAAAAAAAAAUAUUUUGAAAAUUAACUAUGCCAUUUAGUUCUCUUAAACGUACUUAACCAUACCCCGAAGUUAACGGAAUUCAAUAAAAACGCGGUGUAGAUGGCGCUGUACAGGUUCAUUUAUGCACUAACUCUGGCUUGCAAAAGUUGAUGUUUGACAUUUCAGUGUCCACAAAACAUGGCUGAACUAUCAGCGCCCUCUAUUUCAGCAGUUAAACUAGGUGGCACUUUUUAGUGUUCCGUACAAAACUUUGUUUACGGAACACUUAUUUCUUAACACAUUCAGGGCGACUACGCGCUACAUACGGCGAAACCGUGGCUACGCGCUACGAGCGUAACCCGUAGCACUUAGUGGCAAUGAAUGUGUUAAGCUUAUUUCUUCUGCAAUUGAUAACUUUUUUGAUAAUUGAUAAUAUUUCUUAACCAUUUGAUUUGAUUGUUUUGUUGACGCUCAUCAUUAUCAUGCAUUUUAUUAAAUUUAAUCGUGUCACAAGGAAGCUAAUGUUAGGGCGAGGGCAGAUAUCGAAACCCGAGCGUAGCGGGGAUUGCAAAUGCCGUCCGAAUCAAUUUUACUACUGAGUUAAAACGCAUUUCAAAAGAAUACUGUUUUAGUCCAAAAGCUAACGAUAUUGGAGUAUUUGGAGUUAAAUAAACCCCACAGUAGGAUUCUAUGAGAAGUGUUUUACCACAGUCUAUACAGUCGUUCGACGACGGGGUUUGCGCGCACCCGAGCUGCAUACAUCGCAUUGUUAGUAGCUCGGUACACGUCAAUGGCCGUCGGACUACUGUUACUUUUUUUACACUGUGGUUUUACUAUGUUAUGAUUUACCUAUAUUCAAGUCUUUAAGAAGGUUACUAUAAUUCUGUCUUCGCCAUUUUGCAGUGUAUUACCUAACAGAUAUAUUUGUGACGUCCCACCGGUAAAGGUACCUUAUGGCGGUUGGCGCUUUCGCUAAUAUUAAUGCCGCUCCAAUAUUAUUGCGGUGCUAUGCGACGUAAGCGCCAGCCGCCAUAAGGUACCUUUUGCCGUGGAACGUCACGUUUGUACAAGAUGCUCAAAAAUAUCUGAGCAUUCACUAACACCUUAACAAUAGAGUCUAGUUCAGAUAUUUGUGAAUACCUGUCCUCUAAAUAUUGGUCUAUCUAGGGAUACCCUAGUUCUAUCUAGAUCUCCUGCAAAAUUUCAGACUGACAUUAUAAUUAGGUUAUAGGCAAUCUAGACCUAGUCGAUUGGAUAAUCCUAGAAUUUUGGAAUCUGAAAUAAACACGUUAUUUUAGAAUCUAAAGUAAUGUCCCGAUUUUUAUAACUAGACAAUUUUGUUUUACCAUUAUAACAUUUAUAACGUAUAUUUUUAGUAAUAUAGUGACUCGUAAAGUACAAACUCAUAAAAAAAGGAGGGGUUUAUUGUAUAAUAAAAUACAAGGUAUAUAUUAGUAUUAGCUUGUAUUAUAUGUAUUAUGCAAUAGGCCCAUGAUAGCGCAAUUUCGUUGUAAAUUAACCUUUUGGCCGCCGGACCUAGUCCGCAAAGACGCUCACUCACACGCCAGAGCAAAUUUUAAGUAAACAACUAAUAAAAAGUUUAGGGAUUGCAAAUAGUGAUAUCGAUAUUUACAAUAUUUAAUAAAAAUCUUUUUAAUUUAGCUUUGUUCUUAUCCUGUUUUAAUUUCAUUCCAAAUUGCCAAAAUUAAACAUAUGUUUUACACCCGAAAAUGUUUAAAAUAUAGGGAUUUAACAUAAAAAACAACCACUAAACAAUGUCGAUUCAAGACGUGAUAUCGCCGCACUAGGCUGUACGAGAAGUCUUUUAUACAAGACAACGGCGCCCAUGGACUGCCCGCAGUGCAGACCGACAAGGACUGUUUCCGCGCGGAUCAAUUAAUAAUAGUCUCUAGGUCAACGGCGUAAGCGCUUGUCGGUACGUAAACUUUAUUGGCGUAACGUUAAAGCUGCGCAUCAUGUGUCGAUAAAGUCAAUAUACCGGAACUGUUUUAGUGAAAAUUACACGUGGGUUGAAUUUUUUAUGAGUGAAGAUAUUAUUCCGGAAUUAGAAUCGAUCAUUAUAAUUUCAGUUUGGUUUACAUUAAUCUAUAGGUAAACUCUUAUCAAAAAAACGUUCAACGACUUGUUAUAAAAAAAUUACACAUUAACUUCAAUGUUAUAACAAUAAAAGUAAAGUCUGAUAAACAGGUAUGAUCCUGUACCACACUUGUGCGAAGCGGUCGCUGCGGUGUAUCCCUUCCCACUAAGCUAUAAAAUAACAUCAAUUAUUUUUUUUAUUUAUCUCUUCUGCAAUUAAAUAGUCCACAAUCUACAAUGGCAAAUUUACUUGUCUGACUCUACUUUAUAGAGCUAAAGAAGCUACCUGAACUUUAAAUAUAGUUAUGCCUAUCUGACUCUCGUUCUACGUAUUCUAGUAAGUAGUUACCUACUAUUCGUUGAAAAAAAUUGGCGAUUAACAAGUGUUCAAAUACUUAGAUAAAAACAUAUUUCUGACUUUAUAUUUACUUUAAAAAUUCCCAUAUCGAGUUAACAUUCCCAUCCCUAGCUGUCUUUUAUACAAGACAACGGCGACGAGGAACAUGAAAAAUGUUGAAAAUUGGAGCAAUUUUUUUAAAUGCCUUAUUAUAAAAGAAGGGAUUUAUAUAGCGGCUUAAAAAGCAAAUAAAUGAAAAAACAAAGACUUUAAAUAUGAACACGAGUGUAAAUGAAAUUGCAAUUGUUAUUAUUUUCACAUUAACUCAGUGGUUGAAUUUGUGUCUUGUAUACAAGACGACGGCGCCAGCGUAUCGUUCUAUCGUUGUCUUCUAUACCGGACAACGGCGGUCAAAGGGUUAAAGUAUCUUUGAAAUAUAUAAGUAGAUGGCGCUUUAACUAUUUCUAAAUAUUGUCAAUGACAAAAACGGAAGUUAAUGAAUUCACCCGCAGUCACUAUAUUAUUAAAAAUGUUACUCUAAACACAUAACCCUCUUUUUUGGGGCAGCCGGGUAAGCUUAGCCCACUUUAUGCAUUUGCCAGAUUUCCUGCUAAGUUAGUUGUCUAUGUUGAUUUAUAUAUUAUUUGAUAAAUUUUGUAUAUUGAACUCCAAACAUAUUAUUGCGUUAAACUUGUGUAUUAAAAUAAAUAUGAUUUUAAAACGUC